rnacentral:rRNA from 1 species
UACGGAGGGUGCGAGCGUUGUCCGGAAUCACUGGGCGUAAAGGGCGCGUAGGCGGCAUGCCAAGCGUGUGGUGAAAGCCCGGGGCUCAACCCCGGGUCGGCCGUGCGGACUGGCGUGCUUGAGCACUGUAGGGGCGGGUGGAAUUCCUGGUGUAGCGGUGGAAUGCGCAGAUAUCAGGAGGAACACCAAUGGCGAAGGCAGCUCGCUGGGGCGGUACUGACGCUGAGGCGCGAAAGCGUGGGGAGCAAACAGG